rnacentral:lncRNA from 1 species
UCUCCACCUUCAUGAUUCUAUGAUUCUACGGUUCUAAACCAACCAGGAGAGAAAGUUAGCCAGGAGGUGCUAAGCCAGAAGCCACGCACGUGGGGAUGCAGCGCUGACAGCAUCCAGCCUGGUCCCGAGGGGCUCUGCUGAGCACAGAACCAGCUCCAGCUGGAACCACGGCAGCCCACCUUAAUGCGAUCAGCAUCCCGCCUCCGUGCUCGCACCCCCUGCCAACCCGCAGCGCGCUUCCCGCGGGCUUCGGAGCUGUCCAGCAUCUUCCCCAGCGAUGCGGCAGAAAAUCAGAAAGUUUUUUUCGGCCACCCUCCAAAUGAACAGAUUAGCAGCUUGGCAAACGGCUCGAGGAGCGGGUUACUGCCACGGGGUGCAAGAGGCACGCAGCAUCCAGUGUGGGCGUGCAGACAGAGGUGGGCACGCAGCCCGUCGCGAUUUGGGGGGGCACAGAGAAGGCCCUGCAAACUGCUCCGGAAACAACACCCUGAUAGAAUGCUUUGCUCAACGUGCACAGCCCUUGGGGAAGGAUUUGAGAAGUCCAAUACGUUCGGCUUUUGUUCCAAGGAGGGACACGUGCAACACCUACAGUCACUACAGCAAAAAGGUCAUUGAAACGUGGAUCCCCAAAAUCAGCCCUGAGCGUGGUGUCAAUUGUGUCUCACCAAGAAAAUUCCGACUCACCCGAGUGAGGAAACAAAGGCACGUGCUGGGUUGCUGCAAAGAGUAAAGCAGCAAAGGGAUAAAGCACCUCAACACUGCAUUCCAACACGGACCUGCUGCUUCAUACCACCCUUGCCAAAAUGCUUUCUUUCAGUAAAGUCGAGAUGGGCAGCUUAGGAAAUGAUGGAAGAGAUCGUUCCAAUGCUGUGGGGUUGGCCUAUAUAGAUAUAGGCAUAAAAAUCAUACUAUUAAUGCGUGAAGAAUUCCAGGGCGCUCCUGGUGGGAGCAGCAUACAGGCUGCGUUUC